AAUGGGGUAACCCCUGAUCCAGCCAUGCCGCGUGAGUGAUGAAGGCCUUCGGGUUGUAAAGCUCUUUUAGUAGGGAAGAAGGGAAACUUGACUGUACCUACAGAAAAAGCACCGGCUAACUCUGUGCCAGCAGCCGCGGUAAUACAGAGGGUGCAAGCGUUGUUCGGAAUUAUUGGGCGUAAAGCGCGUGUAGGCGGUCGAAUAAGUCUGGUGUGAAAGCCCGGGGCUCAACCCCGGAAGUGCACUGGAUACUGUUUGACUAGAGGACGAGAGAGGAGAGUGGAAUUCCUGGUGUAGGGGUGAAAUCCGUAGAUAUCAGGAGGAACAUCUGUGGCGAAGGCGGCUCUCUGGCUCGUUUCUGACGCUGAGACGCGAAAGCGUGGGGAGCAAA
rnacentral:rRNA from 1 species